rnacentral:rRNA from 1 species
AACGAACGCUGGCGGCAGGCCUAACACAUGCAAGUCGAGCGAGGACUUCGGUUCUAGCGGCGGACGGGUGAGUAACGCGUGGGAAUGUGCCCUUCUCUACGGAAUAGCCCUGGGAAACUGGGAGUAAUACCGUAUACGCCCUUUUGGGGAAAGAUUUAUCGGAGAAGGAUCAGCCCGCGUUGGAUUAGGUAGUUGGUGGGGUAAUGGCCUACCAAGCCGACGAUCCAUAGCUGGUUUGAGAGGAUGAUCAGCCACACUGGGACUGAGACACGGCCCAGACUCCUACGGGAGGCAGCAGUGGGGAAUCUUAGACAAUGGGGGCAACCCUGAUCUAGCCAUGCCGCGUGAGCGAUGAAGGCCUUAGGGUUGUAAAGCUCUUUCACCGGGGAAGAUAAUGACGGUACCUGGAGAAGAAGCCCCGGCUAACUCCGUG